UUCCAAUGAAAGGUCUGACUCAUUGUUACGCACAAUCAUCUGUUUUAUUUUAAAACAUGUCUACACUGCAUUGAGCCCCCAACACAGAUGUGACCAAGAAACCCACAGUCCUGUCCCAGCAGGGGAUGGGUCCAGUGUAUGACUUGGGGUCGAAUGUUACUUUUCACAGUGAGAAAAAAAAGCAAGGAUAGGAAAGACGAAAUUGACACUAUUCCCAACUCCUGUCCAGGAAUUUGAGUGAUGAAACAGAAGGAUAUUUAAGCUCAUAAAGCUUUUCUAAAGCCGCUUCUCUUAAUCAGUUGAUGUUCAAUAUGGACCCGGGGCUAGUGGACCAGCUGGAUUUGGGCAACAGAAGGGCACACUGUUUAAAACAACAUCCACAUAUUACUGCAAAAAUUGGGAGGAAUGGGCUGUGUUUUCUGACCGAUCGUUUACUUUUUCCUGUUUUAUGGACUCUUACAUGUUUAGAGCAUGUCAGAAUUGCACAACCACAAUCAUGAUAGAGCAUCUGCCCACUAUAAACAUUUUUUGUUUAGGAAAAAGAACUCAAUUGGCCUAUGGGAAGAACUGAGUUGAAUGGUGCCAAUUCAGAAUGGCAGCUUGGGCCGGCCCCUGGGCUCCUUCAUUUUGAGCUUUUCAAUUAUGACCCCACAGAAAUAUGUGGUGUCAUGAAGACUGGGAACAUCUUUCAUUUUUAAAUCAAGUCUUUAAAUCCAGCUGCUUUUGAGAACUCGAUAUUUUACAAGAUUAUUUUUGCUUCCCAUGUCUUUCCUCUGAGGCAGAAAAUAAAGGUUAGAAAAUGGUAGGUUCUAUUUCCCAUGCCAGAGGCACACACAGGGUUUCUUUCUGUUUGAGGACCACCAUGGUUCUUGGUUUCUGGAACACUUGAGCCUCUGGCACCACUGGGCCCCCAGGAGCCCCCUCAGCAUCCAGAGCUGAGAUCUCCAUAUUCCAGAACAAAGCAGCCAAUCGGAAGACUUUCGUCAUAGGAAAGAGAAAAGGCGGCCCCCUUAGCUCUGGCUCCCCAGCAUCUGAGGGACGCAGAGGGGGCAGGUAGGAGCAAACCUUUGAGUCGUCAAGUCAUCGCUGGAGAAGGUGGUAAAGCAAGAUUAGAAGCUGCCCAGUGGCCUUGUUGUGAGAAACAAAAUACCUUCUCCAAAGUAUAGAUUCCUGUUUAUGAUCUAAAAUGGAUGCCUUUGAAAUGAUUUAUCUGGACCAAUGAAAGGCAGUUGCUCAUUACAUAUUAUCCAAAUUUAGAUUUUCUACUUGGUUAUUCACAUCAAAUCAGGCUUUCGAAAUAGACCCAACUAGAUUGCAAGGUGUACAUUUUAACAGAAAUUGCAAAAUGCUUAUGCCAUUUACUGACAUAGCACUAGACCCAAGGACUCCACUGGUAUAAAUAUUUUCAGAUUCCUUUGCAUUUUAACAAUAAUAGAGAAUGGUCAGAACAAAGACAUGGUUACAGUUGCUAACAUUGAUUGAAUUAUAUUGUCCAUCUUAAUUACAAAUCAGUUUACAUAAUUUUGCUCCAUUUUCUAUGCAUUUUGUCUUUUAAAUCACCUUUUACAAAAUUUAUAUUU